CGCAUGGAUUAGGCAUGCAAGUUGAACGAACUCCUUCGGGAGUGAGUAGCGGAAGGGUGAGGAACGCGUGAGUAAUCUGCCCCCCAGUUGGGAAUAACAGUUGGAAACGACUGCUAAUACCGAAUGUGGCUUAAGCUUCGCCUGGAGCUUUGGCUAAAGAUUUAUCGCUGGGGGAUGAGCUCGCGUCCCAUUAGGUAGUUGGUGAGGUAACGGCUCACCAAGCCGACGAUGGGUAGCUGGUCUGAGAGGAUGGUCAGCCACACUGGGACUGAGACACUGCCCAGACUCCUACGGGAGGCUGCAGUCGAGAAUCUUGGGCAAUGCGCGAAAGCGUGACCCAGCAAUGCCGCGUGUAUGAUGAAGGCCCUCGGGUCGUAAAGUACUGUCUCCCGUGACGAAAUUUGACGGUAGCGGGGAAGGAAGCCACGGCUAACUACGUGCCAGCCGCGGC
rnacentral:rRNA from 1 species